rnacentral:rRNA from 1 species
UGCCAGCCGCCGCGGUAAGACGAAGGUGGCAAGCGUUGUUCGGAAUUACUGGGCAUAAAGAGCGCGUAGGUGGCGUGGUAAGCGAGGAAUGAAAUCCCAUGGCUCACCCAUGGAACUGUUUCUCGAACUGCCAUGCUUGAGGACGGGAGGGGAAGGUGGAAUUCCUGGUGUAGCGGUGAAAUGCGUAGAUAUCUAGAGGAACAUCAGUGGCGAAGGCGGCUCCCUGGCCAAAGACUGACGCUCAUGUGCGAAAGUGUGGGUAGCGAACAGGAUUAGAUA